GUGGGGAAUAUUGGGCAAUGGAGGCAACUCUGACCCAGCAACGCCGCGUGAAUGAAGAAGGCCUUCGGGUUGUAAAGUUCUUUAAUUGGGGACGAAGAAAGUGACGGUACCCAAAGAAUAAGCCACGGCUAACUACGUGCCAGCAGCCGCGGUAAUACGUAGGUGGCAAGCGUUGUCCGGAAUGACUGGGCGUAAAGGGAGCGUAGGCGGCGCAACAAGUUAGGAGUGAAAUCCCGGGGCUUAACCCCGGAACUGCUUUUAAAACUGUUGUGCUUGAGUGAUGGAGAGGAAAGCGGAAUUCCUAGUGUAGCGGUGGAAUGCGUAGAUAUUAGGAGGAACACCAGAGGCGAAGGCGGCUUUCUGGACAUUAACUGACGCUGAGGCUCGAAAGCGUGGGGAGCAAACAGGAUUAGAAACCCUAGUAGUCC
rnacentral:rRNA from 1 species